rnacentral:rRNA from 2 species
ACGGGUGAGUAACGCGUGGGAACGUACCUUUUGGUUCGGAACAACACAGGGAAACUUGUGCUAAUACCGGAUAAGCCCUUACGGGGAAAGAUUUAUCGCCGAAAGAUCGGCCCGCGUCUGAUUAGCUAGUUGGUAGGGUAAUGGCCUACCAAGGCGACGAUCAGUAGCUGGUCUGAGAGGAUGAUCAGCCACAUUGGGACUGAGACACGGCCCAAACUCCUACGGGAGGCAGCAGUGGGGAAUAUUGGACAAUGGGGGCAACCCUGAUCCAGCCAUGCCGCGUGAGUGAUGAAGGCCCUAGGGUUGUAAAGCUCUUUUGUGCGGGAAGAUAAUGACGGUACCGCAAGAAUAAGCCCCGGCUAACUUCGUGCCAGCAGCCGCGGUAAUACGAAGGGGGCUAGCGUUGCUCGGAAUCACUGGGCGUAAAGGGUGCGUAGGCGGGUUUUUAAGUCAGGGGUGAAAUCCUGGAGCUCAACUCCAGAACUGCCUUUGAUACUGAAGAUCUUGAGUCCGGGAGAGGUGAGUGGAACUGCGAGUGUAGAGGUGAAAUUCGUAGA